rnacentral:ncRNA from 1 species
AAUUCGAUUGAGCCUUGGUGGAGAAAUCUACUAAGUGAUUGUUUCCAUAUUCAGGGAAACCUAGGUUGAAAAAGAAGAACCUACUAGGUAAUCCUGAGCCAAAUUUCUAUUGCGGAAUAGGUGCAGAGACUCGAAGGAAACUAUCCCAAAAAUUUUUCGAUGUUCUGCGAUUUGUUUCAUGCACCAGAGGAUGAGUGAGAAUAACAAUAGUCAAUGCUUAUAUGGUUAUAUGGUUAUAUGGUUAUUGCUACCACUAUUUCACGUUCCAUGAAUCUCAAUUCAUACACGAGGAUAAAGAGAGAGUCCGUUUUUACGAGCUAUGAUUAGCAACGAUGCGAAUCGUAGUGAAAAG